GCAAAGACAGCGUUUUUAUACAAUAACACUGCAAGUUCUCAAAAUACUUACUUAAUGCCUACUACCCCUCCUGGGGCGUAGGCUGCCGACAAGGGAUCUCCAGGCAUCUUUGCUGAGAUGUCCUGAGUACUUGUUGGCGUUUCUGUAGCGGUGUGGGUUUUUUACGGGGUGGGGCCGCUAGUCCCACGCCCAGCCCUCCUCCUUUAUCCGGGCUUGGGACCGGCGGGGGACCCCGAAGGAAUCCCUAGGCGGAGUCGUUUUCAAAAUAACUCCAAGUAAAUUUUUCCCUCAAACAUUUUUCAGACAAGUAGAGAUGUCUAAAAAAUUUUAACUGAAGUAUGCACAUGUACAGUUUAAAAUUUUAAAUUGUGGCAGAAAAGAAGUGUAGAAAAGUUUAUUUAUAGAAAUAGUUAUGAAACGUCAACCAAAAUGCAAGUUAGAGAAGAGACAAUAUUUAGUGGAAUUAAUCAUUUGUCAGAGCGAUCAAUAAUACUUCUGUAAGGUUCAGAGAAAGUGUUUACUUUGAAAUCAAAAGUGCUGUUUCCUAGAACUGGACAGUAAUCAGAACAAACACUGAGGGACUGCUCCCUUUGCCAUUGACCGCUCUGCGCCAGAAGCCACGCAGACCCGUUUCAGGUGCACCCAGUUCCUCUCCUUCUCCACCACUCCUGCUGCCAUGGCUGUCCCGUGCACCGCUGCCGCCGUCCUCAGCCUGCUCUCGCUGACCGCAGCUGCCCCGUCCGGCUGCGAGGACGCGCUCACGCCCCUGGAGACGGUCAACCAAUCUCAGAUUUUCGGGAAGUGGUUUCUUCAUGCAGUCAGUUCAAACAACAAGGAAUUUCAGUCCCUUGCUGGGGGUCUGAAAAGCUUCUGGAUGGAGCUGCAGCCGGGCCCUGAAAAUCACACGACCCUCCUGAAGACCGCGACUCAGGGAAACGAGUCCUGUGAUAUUUCCACGUCCACCAUCACCAGCACCACACUCUUCGGUUUCAAAAUUGGCCACGAUAUGAAGCUGCAGCUUACCCGUCCUACCUGCCUGUUUAUCCUGACCAACCACACUGUGGCUGAAAAACCUGUCAUCUUACUAUACAUCUACGGAAGAACGCAGAAGCUGGGCCACUCGCACAUGGACACGUUCAGGAGGCGUACGGACUGUCUGGGCCUCGAAUUCUCUCUGACCCUGGACCCCGAGAAAGAUGUGUGUCCUGAAAAGGAGGACAAGGUGCCCACAUCUCCACCUGCCUGCGAGGAUCUGUUUGCUGUGCUGCACUCAGUGGACCGUGCGCAGAUAUUUGGGAAAUGGUUCCUGAUUGGUGCAGCGAGCAACUACUCGUCCACCUCGCAGAACUAUACAUCGUCUCAGGCAAACGUAGACAGCAUCUGGAUAAAGCUGUCGCCGACCUCUCACAAUGACACCAUCCUCCUCGAAUACGGGAGCAGGCAGCAUGGGUCCUGUUGGACAUUCUCUCAGAAGCAUAAAAUCACCAGCCACAUUAUCGCAUACGGCCCCGUCACAGCGAUGGAGCUGCUCAGCUGCCCCAACUGCCUGCUCCUCAGGGUCAAACACAGCACGGAGGAGCAGACGGUCCAGCAUCUGCAGAUAUGGGGAAGAACCAGGACCCUGCCUGAUUCUGUCAUGGACACGUUCAGGAGACAAGUGAACUGCCUGGACCUGGGACUCCAAGAGUUCAUGGACCCCGAGAAAGAUGUGUGUCCCGAAAAGGAGAUCUCCUCAACCAAAUAAGACCUCAACACACACCAGCAGUCCAAGAGCGACUGAUGAUGUAUCUUGAAAACGCAUGUCAGUUAUACAAGAGUGAACCAGUAGUGUUAGUGUUAACAGGUUAAAACAGUACCCCACUUCUCAGCUGCUAAUGCCGGAGGUAAGCAAAGGUGCGCAGUCCAGAAAAAAGGACAUUUUACUCAUUUACUCAGCUGGGUAAUUUUUACUGUAUCUGUUCAGGGUAAGUACCUUGACUGACCGAUUUCAAAAAAAGAGUACUCCUGUGUGACAUUCUUACUGACCAUUACUCCUUGUGUCAUUAGCACAUUAACUGAAAUUUAACGUGUUCAUUAAUCAAUUCAAACUGAAAUUUAUUAAUUAAAUACAUUUGUAAAUGUUCUACGACCCAUUAUAACAGUCACCGGUGACACUAAAGCACCUUUCAUUCGCCGCACCUUUAGUGUUUUUUUUAUGAAUCUAACCGGUUCACCCGGCCACACCCGAUGC
ensembl:lncRNA